GAGCACGUAGGUGGGUUUGUAAGUCAGAUGUGAAAGCCUUCUGUUCAACGGAAGAAUUGCAUCUGAAACUGCUAAUCUUGAGUAUAGGAGGGGAGAAUGGAACUUCUGGUGGAGCGGUGAAAUGCGUAGAUAUCAGAAGGAACGCCGGCGGCGAAAGCGAUUCUCUGGCCUAUUACUGACACUCAGUGUGCGAAAGCUAGGGGAGCAAACGGGAUUAGAUACCCCGGUAGUCCUAGCCGUAAACGAUGGGCACUAAGUAGAGGGAAUUACCUAUGUUCUCUCUGCCGUAGCUAACGCAUUAAGUGCCCCGCCUGGGGAGUACGGCCGCAAGGCUAAAACUCAAAAGAAUUGACGGGGGCUCGCACAAGCGGUGGAGCAUGUGGCUUAAUUCGAUGCAACGCGAAAAACCUUACCGGGGCUUGACAUGAUAGAAGUAGGAACCUGAAAGGGGGACGAACGGUAUCCAGUCCGUAGCUAUUACAGGUGUUGCAUGGCUGUCGUCAGCUCGUGUCGUGAGACGUUGGGUUAAGUCCCCUAACGAGCGAAACCCUUGUUUUCAGUUACCGGCGGGUUAUGCCGGGUACUCUAGAAAGACUGCCGUCGUCAAGACGGAGGAAGGUGGGGAUGACGUCAAGUCAUCAUGGCCCUUAUGCCCCGGGCUGCACACGUGCUACAAUGGUCGGUACAGACGGAAGCGAAGCCGAGAGGUGAAGCGAAUCC
rnacentral:rRNA from 1 species